rnacentral:lncRNA from 1 species
UUUUUUUUUUUUUUUAAGUGGUUUCCACACCAAGCAUGGAGCCCAGCAUGGGGUUUGAACUCAUGACCCUCAGAUCAAACAUGAGCUGAGAUCAAGGGUUGAAUGCUCAACUGACUGAACCACCCAGGCGCCCCGAGAAAAUAUUCUUAAUACACAUUUCUUUCCUCAAUAAAAAGAAGACAAACAGCCCAAUUUUAAAAUGGGCAGAAGAUUUGAACAGAUAUUUCACAGGGUAAGAAGUACAUGAAUAGAUGCUCAACAUUAUUAGGCAUUAGAGAAACAUAAAUUAAAACAGAAAUAAGAUACCACUAACUACCCACUAAAAUGGGCUAAAGUCAAAAAGACAGCCUAAACCAAGUCUUGGUGAAAUAACUAGAACUCUUCUACAUUUCAGAAGUGCAAAGUGGUUCAACUACUUAGAAAAUAGUUCAGCGAUUUUCAUAAUGUUGAGCAUACACUCACAUGUGACCCAGAAGUUCCACACCCAAGGGAAAGGAAAAUGUAAAUGCAUGAUCAAGACUUGUACACAAAUGUUCAUAGCAGCUUUAUUCGUUAUAGCCCCAAACUGGAAAUAACCUACAUGUCUAACAACAGAUAAAUAAAGCAUGUAUACACACACACACACACACACACACACACACAUUAUGGUAUAUCCAUACAAUUGAAUACUAUUCAGCAAUGAAAAAGAUGAACUCCGGUGUGUGGGAUAGCAUGGCUUAAUCUCAAAAGCAUUAUACUGGGCAAAAGAAACCAGAGGAAUAUGCCAUACUAUUCCAUUUAAAUAAAAUUUAGAAAAGGUAAAUCUCAUCUAUUAGUGACAAAAAGCGGAUUAGUCAUUGCCUGGGGCCAGCUCUUGGUUUCACCUCAGGGCAUGAUCUCAGGGUCACAAGAUUGAGCCCCACGUUGAGUCUUCACUCAGCACGGAGUCUGCUUCAGAUCCCCUCUCCCUCUCGCUCUCUCUCUCUGUCUCUCAAAUAAAUAAAUAAAUAAAUAAAUAAAUAAAUAAAUAAAUAAAACCUUUAAAACAAAUAGAAUGGGUGCAUUUUAUUGUGUGCGAAUUAUGCCUUAUCGAUUUGAGUUAAGAAGGAAAAUAUAGGAAAUAUUUUUAUGUCACUGAGGGUGGAGAAAGAUUUUUUUUGAAUAAAAUGUAAAAAUUAUAAACCACAAAGGAAAAGGAGAAUUCGAUUACAUUAAAAUUCAAAACCUCUGCACAUCAAAAGACACCACCAGCAACGUUUAAAAAAAAAAAGAAAGAAAAACCAGUCCAGAGACUGGGAGAAGAUAUUUAUAACCCGUAUAACUGAGAAAAGAUUAGCAUCCAGAGCAUUUCACAAACUGUUACAAGUCAAUAAGAAAAAUAUGAAGAACUUAAGAGGAAAAUGGCCAGGACAUCACCAGGCAAAUCAUAGGUGAGAAAAACUGGAUAGUCCAUAAACCCAUGAGGAGAUAGUCAAGCUCUCUAUUAAACGGGGAAGUAUACAUAAAAAUGGCAAAAUGUGAUCAUCUGAUAGCACCUACUGUUGGCAAGGACAUGGGGAAAUGGAACAGUUUUGGGUUUUCCAGUGAGAAAGUAUUUUCCUAGAACCAUUUGGAGAUGAAUUUGGCAACAGUAGGAAAGUUUAAGGCACGCUCCCCAUCACCUGACAUUUCCCCGAUUCACCGAACACCCCGGGGUCCUCAAGUCUGGGUGCCUCAGGAAACAUCAAAAUCUGUUGAGGCCGGCCUUGUUUAUUAGUCCCAAAGUGGGGAUGUCAUACAUUUCCAUUACUUGAGCAAUGAGUAAAUAAAACGGAGUCUAGUCCUAUGAUAGAAUAAAGUCAGUGAUUAAAACGAAUGCCCUGGAUCUCUGUAUGUCAACACAAGGCCUAGAAAGUAUAUAUAUGUCUUUAUAUUAAAUAUACAUAUUUAGAGAAAGUAAAAAAAAAAAAAAAAACAAGCAAGUUACAAAAAGAUACCUACUGCCUAGAAAGGGAGGUUUAUUAGCAGGACCCUAAGGGAGGGGACCCCCCACCUGCUUUAUGGAGAUAGAAGGGGACAGUGUUGGGGUGGAGAGCUGCAAACUGCCUGCGGAUAAGGCAUCUCCCAGACUCUGGGACUUUCCAACGGAGACCCAAUAUAAGCUUUCUAUCAGCUGUACAGGUCUUUUGAAUGUGUGGGAUGCUGCUGCCCGUCCCUGUCACCCUUGGCGAUAAGAUAUGAACAAGCGCUGGAAAGCAUUGUGAUCCCACAGCCUGCACGCCACGGAAUUCAAGAUGAGCAGCCCCACAGGGCCUCCGGCAGGCACCACCCCACAUCACAACGUGCCUUGUUUUUCUCCUCCACUACCAUUCCACCCACUUUGGGGCCACGGACUUGCUUUGAGGUUUGGCAUUUUCACAUUUUUAAUAUAAACUCAGAUGCUUAAGACACCAGCCUCAAAUCCUAAAAAAAAAAAAAAAAAAAAAGAAAGAA